rnacentral:rRNA from 1 species
UACGUAGGGGGCAAGCGUUGUCCGGAAUCAUUGGGCGUAAAGAGCGUGUAGGCGGUCCGGUCAGUCGGUUGUGAAAGUCCAGGGCUCAACCCUGGGAUGCCGGUCGAUACUGCCGGACUAGAGUUCGGAAGAGGCGAGUGGAAUUCCCGGUGUAGCGGUGAAAUGCGCAGAUAUCGGGAGGAACACCUAUGGCGAAGGCAGCUCGCUGGGACGUUACUGACGCUGAGACGCGAAAGCGUGGGGAGCAAACAGG